rnacentral:rRNA from 1 species
GACGAACGCUGGCGGCGUGCUUAACACAUGCAAGUCGAACGGAAAGGCCCUGCUUUUGUGGGGUGCUCGAGUGGCGAACGGGUGAGUAACACGUGAGUAACCUGCCCUUGACUUUGGGAUAACUUCAGGAAACUGGGGCUAAUACCGGAUAGGAGCUCCUGCUGCAUGGUGGGGGUUGGAAAGUUUCGGCGGUUGGGGAUGGACUCGCGGCUUAUCAGCUUGUUGGUGGGGUAGUGGCUUACCAAGGCUUUGACGGGUAGCCGGCCUGAGAGGGUGACCGGCGACAUUGGGACUGAGAUACGGCCCAGACUCCUACGGGAGGCAGCAGUGGGGAAUAUUGCACAAUGGGCGGAAGCCUGAUGCAGCAACGCCGCGUGCGGGAUGACGGCCUUCGAGUUGUAAACCGCUUUCGCCUGUGACGAAGCGUGAGUGACGGUAAUGGGUAAAGAAGCACCGGCUAACUACGUG